GUUUUGUAAGGUUACUGGAAGAAAACUGAUGCAGCAGAAUAGAUUAUGAGAUUAGCAGUAGGGAUUUUUUUUUUGCAUAUUAAUGGCUAUGGAGGCACCUAAUGGGUUUGUAAUUACAGAUCUGCGUUUUAGGGGCUAGCCACUCCAAAGACCCCCCUGGGAGGUUUUCACAUUGGGAUUUGAGGGGGGAAAGUGGAAAAGUAAUUGCUAGGGUCUAAUAUUAAAAUGUUAAAGCCAUUUCCCUUCUUAAGGCCUCUUUCAAAGAAAC